rnacentral:rRNA from 1 species
GUUGAACGCUGGCGGCAGGCCUAACACAUGCAAGUCGAACGGUAACAGGAAGCAGCUUGCUGCUUUGCUGACGAGUGGCGGACGGGUGAGUAAUGUCUGGGAAACUGCCUGAUGGAGGGGGAUAACUACUGGAAACGGUAGCUAAUACCGCAUAACGUCGCAAGACCAAAGAGGGGGACCUUCGGGCCUCUUGCCAUCGGAUGUGCCCAGAUGGGAUUAGCUAGUAGGUGGGGUAACGGCUCACCUAGGCGACGAUCCCUAGCUGGUCUGAGAGGAUGACCAGCCACACUGGAACUGAGACACGGUCCAGACUCCUACGGGAGGCAGCAGUGGGGAAUAUUGCACAAAGGGCGCAAGCCUGAUGCAGCCAUGCCGCGUGUAUGAAGAAGGCCUUCGGGUUGUAAAGUACUUUCAGCGGGGAGGAAGGGAGUAAAGUUAAUACCUUUGCUCAUUGACGUUACCCGCAGAAGAAGCACCGGCUAACUCCGUG